rnacentral:rRNA from 1 species
UACGAAGGGUGCAAACGUUGCUCGGAAUUAUUGGGCGUAAAGGGCGCGUAGGCGGUCUUGUAAGUCAGCUGUGAAAGCCCGGGGCUCAACCCCGGAGGGUCGGCUGAUACUGCAGGACUGGAGUACGGAAGAGGUAGCUGGAAUUCCCGGUGUCGCGGUGAAAUGCGUAGAUAUCGGGAGGAACACCUGAGGCGAAGGCGGGCUACUGGGCCGAUACUGACGCUGAGGCGCGAAAGCCAGGGGAGCAAAGCGGG